rnacentral:rRNA from 1 species
CCUACGGGGGGCACCAGUGGGGAAUAUUGCACAAUGGGCGCAAGCCUGAUGCAGCCAUGCCGCGUGUAUGAAGAAGGCCUUCGGGUUGUAAAGUACUUUCAGCGGGGAGGAAGGUGUUGUGGUUAAUAACCACAGCAAUUGACGUUACCCGCAGAAGAAGCACCGGCUAACUCCGUGCCAGCAGCCGCGGUAAUACGGAGGGUGCAAGCGUUAAUCGGAAUUACUGGGCGUAAAGCGCACGCAGGCGGUCUGUCAAGUCGGAUGCGAAAUCCCCGGGCUCAACCUGGGAACUGCAUUCGAUACUGGCAGGCUAGAGUCUUGUAGAGGGGGGUAGAAUUCCAGGUGUAGCGGAGAAAUGCGUAGAGAUCUGGAGGAAUACCGGUGGUGAAGGCGGCCCCCUGGACAAAGACUGACGCUCAGGUGCGAAAGCGUGGGGAGCAAACAGGAUUAGAUACCCGCGUAGUC